rnacentral:rRNA from 1 species
CGGAGGAUCCAAGCGUUAUCCGGAUUUAUGGGUUUAAAGGGUGCGUAGGCGGCCUGUUAAGUCAGGGGUGAAAGACGGUAGCUCAACUAUCGCAGUGCCCUUGAUACUGAUGGGCUUGAAUGGACUAGAGGUAGGCGGAAUGAGACAAGUAGCGGUGAAAUGCAUAGAUAUGUCUCAGAACACCGAUUGCGAAGGCAGCUUACUAUGGUCUUAUUGACGCUGAGGCACGAAAGCGUGGGGAUCAAACAGGAUUAGAUACCCUGGUAGUCCACGCCCUAAACGAUGAACACUCGCUGUUGGCGAUACACAGUCAGCGGCUAAGCGAAAGCGUUAAGUGUUCCACCUGGGGAGUACGCUCGCAAGAGUG